AAGGUAACAAAAAUAGGUGCAAGUUGUGUGAGGUACUUGGGCACAGAAUUGGUUCAUCCAAGUGCAUCUACACUCCUCAGAGGCCAAAGAGGAAGCGUGCAGAAAAAGCCCCACCGCUUGUUGUUGAACAAUGCUGGCCAGUGAAAAAAGCAAGACUCAGUGGCUAUAGAAGGAAGAGCACUAAGCAGAUAAUGUUUGGUGACAAAGAUAUGGAGCUAACUGAAACUGUUACUGCUGAACAUGAGCUAAGUGUUUGUGUUUUGGACGAUGUGAUGCAUACUGAAUCUGUUUUGCAGACGCUAGGGCAAUCUGAAACUGUUGCAGAUGAAGCAACUGUUGUGCUGCCAUUCGAAUCUGCUUUGACAACUGUGUUGCCAUGUUUGGAGGUUGUGCUGCCAAGUGUUGAGUUGCAAACUGAAGUAGUUGAACAAUGUGUGCCAUCUACUCAAUCUGCAGAAGUGCAAACUGAAGAAGUGAGACAUGGUCAGGUGCAAAAGUUGAGGGGGCC